rnacentral:rRNA from 1 species
AUUGAACGCUGGCGGCAUGCUUUACACAUGCAAGUCGAACGGUAACAGGCCGCAAGGUGCUGACGAGUGGCGCACGGGUGCGUAAUGCAUCGGAACGUGCCCAGUCGUGGGGGUUAACUACUCGAAAGAGUAGCUAAUACCGCAUACGAUCUAUGGAUGAAAGCGGGGGACCGUAAGGCCUCGCGCGAUUGGAGCGGCCGAUGUCAGAUUAGGUAGUUGGUGGGGUAAAGGCUCACCAAGCCAACGAUCUGUAGCUGGUCUGAGAGGACGACCAGCCACACUGGGACUGAGACACGGCCCAGACUCCUACGGGAGGCAGCAGUGGGGAAUUUUGGACAAUGGGCGCAAGCCUGAUCCAGCAAUGCCGCGUGCAGGAAGAAGGCCUUCGGGUUGUAAACUGCUUUUGUACGGAACGAAACGGCUCUGGUUAAUACCCGGGGCUAAUGACGGUACCGUAAGAAUAAGCACCGGCUAACUACGUG